rnacentral:rRNA from 1 species
CCUACGGGUGGCAGCAGUGGGGAAUAUUGGGCAAUGGAGGCAACUCUGACCCAGCAACGCCGCGUGAAGGAAGAAGGCCUUAGGGUUGUAAACUUAUGUUGUAAAGGAAGAAAAGAAUGACGGUACUUUACAAGAAAGCCCCGGCUAACUAUGUGCCAGCAGCCGCGGUAAUACGGAGGAUGCGAGCGUUAUCCGGAUUUAUUGGGUUUAAAGGGUGCGUAGGCGGAAUAUCAAGUCAGCGGUAAAAAUUCGGGGCUCAACCCCGUCGUGCCGUUGAAACUGAUGUUCUUGAGUGGGCGAGAAGUAUGCGGAAUGCGUGGUGUAGCGGUGAAAUGCAUAGAUAUCACGCAGAACUCCGAUUGCGAAGGCAGCAUACCGGCGCCCAACUGACGCUGAAGCACGAAAGCGUGGGUAUCGAACAGGAUUAGAUACCCCAGUAGUC